UGGGGAAUAUUGCACAAUAGGGGAAACCCUGAUGCAGCCAUGCCGCGUGUGUGAAGAAGGCCUUCGGGUUGUAAAGCACUUUCAGCGAGGAGGAAAGGUUGAUGCCUAAUACGUAUCAACUGUGACGUUACUCGCAGAAGAAGCACCGGCUAACUCCGUGCCAGCAGCCGCGGUAAUACGGAGGGUGCAAGCGUUAAUCGGAAUUACUGGGCGUAAAGCGCACGCAGGCGGUUGGAUAAGUUAGAUGUGAAAGCCCCGGGCUCAACCUGGGAAUUGCAUUUAAAACUGUCCAGCUAGAGUCUUGUAGAGGGGGGUAGAAUUCCAGGUGUAGCGGUGAAAUGCGUAGAGAUCUGGAGGAAUACCGGUGGCGAAGGCGGCCCCCUGGACAAAGACUGACGCUCAGGUGCGAAAGCGUGGGGAGCAAACA
rnacentral:rRNA from 1 species